CCCUUAGAUGUUCUGGGCUGCACGCGCGCUACAAUGGCGUUUUCAAAAAGAUUGCUAAUCCGAAAGGACCAGCGGAUAUUCGAAGUGGCGUCGUGAUCGGGACAGUUGAUUGCAAUUAUUCGACUCGAACGAGGAAUUCCUUGUAAUCGUGCGUCAUCAGCGCACGCUGAAUACGUCCCUGCCCUUUGUACACACCGCCCGUCGCACCUACCGAUUGGAUGGUCCGGUGAAGCCUCGGGAUUGUGGUUCUUGCCGCUUUAUUGUGGCGUGACCGCGAGAACUUGUCUAAACCUUAUCAUCUAGAGGAAGGUGAAGUCGUAACA
rnacentral:rRNA from 1 species